UACGAAGGGGGCUAGCGUUGCUCGGAAUCACUGGGCGUAAAGGGUGCGUAGGCGGGUCUUUAAGUCAGGGGUGAAAUCCUGGAGCUCAACUCCAGAACUGCCUUUGAUACUGAGGAUCUUGAGUAUGGGAGAGGUGAGUGGAACUGCGAGUGUAGAGGUGAAAUUCGUAUAUAUUCGCAAGAACACCAGUGGCGAAGGCGGCUCACUGGCCCAUUACUGACGCUGAGGCACGAAAGCGUGGGGAGCGAACAGG
rnacentral:rRNA from 1 species